rnacentral:rRNA from 1 species
CCUACGGGAUGCAGCAGUGGGGAAUUUUGGACAAUGGGCGCAAGCCUGAUCCAGCCAUGCCGCGUGAGUGAAGAAGGCCUUCGGGUUGUAAAGCUCUUUCGGCCGGGAAGAAAUCGUGUUCUCUAACAUAGGACAUGGAUGACGGUACCGGACUAAGAAGCACCGGCUAACUACGUGCCAGCAGCCGCGGUAAUACGUAGGGUGCGAGCGUUAAUCGGAAUUACUGGGCGUAAAGCGUGCGCAGGCGGUUUUGUAAGACAGAUGUGAAAUCCCCGGGCUCAACCUGGGAACUGCGUUUGUG